CACCCUCCCUCACUCACACAUCGUAUCUGUAUGCAUAUCCAGCCAACAGCUCAGUCAGAUAAUCUCUCUCCUAAUAGAUUAUCUGAAGCGUGUUGUUUCCAGGAACGGUUUCUCAACAACCGGUUCUAGAUCUCGAAGUGAAUUCCUCUUUCUCUUCUCUUUCUCCGCAAAUCAAAAGAUUCGUAGAAAAUCUCAACAUUUUGCGCUCAAAGAUUGCGCCUAUUGAAACCCUGGCGCCGAGUGGCAGGUCGGUCCAGCGGACUGGGGACCCCGUGCGUAACGAUGAUGAUGAACCGCGUUCUUGCCCUCUGGUCUCCGGAGGACGGCGCUGACGACCCCUCCGCGUUUAUCUGAAGCGCCCGUAACAGAGAACAACAGACAGCGGAGCAGUGGAUGGACUACAUCCAUCCCAGCACAGCAAGGGGACGAUCUGGAGCAGCACUUCUACACUUCUACACACCAAAAAUAACAAGUUCAGUACAAACACCAUUUUAUAUGUAUAGCAGCAUCUGUUCUUGCCCUGGUUUCCAAAGAAUCUGUGUCUGCCCAUGCUAUACUUAUGCAUUUUAUUUGAAGAGCACUUUUCAUUCGAAAAUCUCAAAGUGCUACAGAGUUUAAAAGAAAAAAAAGUGUUGGUAAAACGUAUAAUACAGUACAGUAAAAGAGAAAUUAGCAAAAGGCUUUUUUAAAAAGAUAAGUCUUAAGGUUUAGUUUAAAAAUAGCUGUAGUCUGUGGGGCCUUCAGGUGGUCAGGGAGGGUGUAGUUCAUCUUACUAUAGAUAUCUUAUAGGUGUGCAUGUUCAUAUGUCUGUGGUAUUUCAUCUAGUC
ensembl:lncRNA